rnacentral:rRNA from 1 species
UACGUAGGGUGCGAGCGUUAAUCGGAAUUACUGGGCGUAAAGCGUGCGCAGGCGGUCAUGCAAGACAGAUGUGAAAUCCCCGGGCUUAACCUGGGAACUGCAUUUGUGACUGCAUGGCUAGAGUACGGUAGAGGGAGAUGGAAUUCCGCGUGUAGCAGUGAAAUGCGUAGAUAUGCGGAGGAACACCGAUGGCGAAGGCAAUCCCCUGGGCCUGCACUGACGCUCAUGCACGAAAGCGUGGGGAGCAAACAGG